UACGUAGGGCGCAAGCGUUGUCCGGAAUUAUUGGGCGUAAAGAGCUCGUAGGCGGCCUGUUGCGUCCGCUGUGAAAUCCCGGGGCUCAACCCCGGGCCUGCAGUGGAUACGGGCUGGCUAGAGGCAGGCAGGGGAGAUUGGAAUUCCUGGUGUAGCGGUGGAAUGCGCAGAUAUCAGGAGGAACACCGAUGGCGAAGGCAGAUCUCUGGGCCGUAACUGACGCUGAGGAGCGAAAGCAUGGGGAGCGAACAGG
rnacentral:rRNA from 1 species